GACGAACGCUGGCGGCGUGCUUAACACAUGCAAGUCGAACGAUGAAGCCUAGCUUGCUAGGUGGAUUAGUGGCGAACGGGUGAGUAAUACGUGAGUAACCUACCUUUAACUCUGGGAUAAGCCCGGGAAACUGGGUCUAAUACCGGAUACGACCAAUCUCCGCAUGGGGUGUUGGUGGAAAGCGUUAUGUAGUGGUUAUAGAUGGGCUCACGGCCUAUCAGCUUGUUGGUGAGGUAACGGCUCACCAAGGCGACGACGGGUAGCCGGCCUGAGAGGGUGACCGGCCACACUGGGACUGAGACACGGCCCAGACUCCUACGGGAAGCAGCAGUGGGGAAUAUUGCACAAUGGGCGCAAGCCUGAUGCAGCGACGCCGCGUGAGGGAUGACGGCCUUCGGGUUGUAAACCUCUGUUAGCAGGGAAGAAGAGAGAUUGACGGUACCUGCAGAGAAAGCGCCGGCUAACUACGUG
rnacentral:rRNA from 1 species